rnacentral:rRNA from 1 species
AGCGAACGUUAGCGGCGCGCCUAACACAUGCAAGUCGCACGAGAAAGGGAGCAAUCCCCGGUACAGUGGCGCACGGGUGAGUAACACGUAGAUGACCUUCCCUGGAGUGGUGGAUAACCUGCCGAAAGGCGGGCUAAUACAGCAUGGGACCACAUGGUUUUGACCGAGUGGUGAAAGCGGGCCUCUGUUCACAAGCUCGCGCUCUGGGAUGGGUCUGCGUCCCAUCAGCUAGUUGGUGAGGUAAUGGCUCACCAAGGCAUCGACGGGUAGCUGGUCUGAGAGGAUGACCAGCCACACUGGAACUGAGACACGGUCCAGACUCCUACGGGAGGCAGCAGUGGGGAAUCUUGCGCAAUGGGCGAAAGCCUGACGCAGCGACGCCGCGUGGGUGAUGAAGGCCUUCGGUGUUAAGACCUGUGGGAGGAACGGAACCGUAAC